GGGUGAGUAACACGUGGGCAACCUGCCCAAAAGAGGGGGAUAACACUUGGAAACAGGUGCUAAUACCGCAUAACCAUAGUUACCGCAUGGUAACUAUGUAAAAGGUGGCUAUGCUACCGCUUUUGGAUGGGCCCGCGGCGCAUUAGCUAGUUGGUGGGGUAAAGGCUUACCAAGGCAAUGAUGCGUAGCCGAACUGAGAGGUUGAUUGGCCACAUUGGGACUGAGACACGGCCCAAACUCCUACGGGAGGCAGCAGUAGGGAAUCUUCCACAAUGGGCGAAAGCCUGAUGGAGCAACGCCGCGUGGGUGAAGAAGGUCUUCGGAUCGUAAAACCCUGUUGUUAGAGAAGAAAGUGCGUGAGAGUAACUGUUCACGUUUCGACGGUAUCUAACCAGAAAGCCACGGCUAACUACGUGCCAGCAGCCGCGGUAAUACGUAGGUGGCAAGCGUUAUCCGGAUUUAUUGGGGGUAAAGGGAACGCAGGCGGUCUUUUAAGUCUGAUGUGAAAGCCUUCGGCUUAACCGGAGUAGUGCAUUGGAAACUGGGAGACUUGAGUGCAGAAGAGGAGAGUGGAACUCCAUGUGUAGCGGUGAAAUGCGUAGAUAUAUGGAAGAACACCAGUGGCGAAAGCGGCUCUCUGGUCUGUAACUGACGCUGAGGUUCGAAAGCGUGGGUAGCAAACAGGAUUAGAUACCCUGGUAGUCCACGCCGUAAACGAU
rnacentral:rRNA from 1 species